ACUGAACUGUUCGUUACGAAUAAUCCAAGGCCCAAACGAUCUAACCACGACCGAGGGAAAGUUUCGUACGUGGAUCGUGAUUCUGAUAUACUCGUCCUUAAUCGUUGCUCGUUUUCCACCCUUAGGGAAAUCAAUAUUUUUCACCGACCAAUCGAGAAGGGAUGGCCAUCAAUUCAUUUAUUAUCGUGGUUCAGUGAUUCUGGAUCUCUUGAAAAAUAUACUUUAAUCAUCUGAAUGAAGGAUAAUUUGGUCACAAUUACUUUUGAAAAUACGAGUCACUCGAAUGCAAAUUGUAACAUAGAAUACAUACAACUGGUGAUGUAGAAACAUUAUAAUUAAUUGAAAUCAAAAUUCAACAAGACCAGAGUGAUAGCAGUCAUAGACGAUUUGAAAAUUUCCUAUGGAUUCUGUUAAAACCAGUGCAUCCUGUUGUCCCAGAGCUUCAGACGUUAGGAAUUAAUUUUACAAUUAAUUUACAACUUAAUUUAUAAAAGAAACUUUAGGUAGGAUUGUUUUGACGGAUAAAGCAGGGCUUCAAGUUAAAUAGGGAAGGCCGUGGGCGGUACGAAGAGCUUUAUGCUCAAAUAGAGCGUAAAGUGGUGGUUUGGAACACUCUAAGUGGAUAAUAUCCCUUUUCCUGUGACACACUGAACGUCAUGAAAUGUCAUGGAAGCUAGUGUAAUAAGUUGCACGCGAACAAUACGGAAAGGAAUGUGGAAGAUAUCCUUCCAUGUUGCUAUUAGGCCUAUCAUAUCAUGUGCCCCAGUUCUUAUUUUUCCCUUUAAUUCGUAACAGAGAGAGAAAGAGUAUUUGCAACAGUCUUUUUCCUUUUCCAUUCAUAACAGUAAAGAAGUAUCUUUCCAUUACUAUAUGAUGUUACUGUAUCAUUAAAUGUUGCAUUUAUACGGCUGUAUAAAAAAAUCUUGAUUCGACAGAGAAACAGAAAAUGUAUUCGUCUCUGUUGAAAAUUAUAUUUGGGAUAUAAUUUUCACUAUGCGUUACUUAUCAUGUGUUUAACAUGUUUAGCAACAUACCGUGUCCCUGACACAUCUUUGACGAUUAUGUUCUACACGGUAAAUAUUUCGUUCUUUCUUAACACGAAGAAUUAACGUUACAAGUAUAUUGUAAUUAUACGUAACAAAUGUUUAGUUAAUUAAUUAUUGAUUCCAGAAACAGUUUCGAUAGAAGCGAAAUAAUAUAAAAGCGUGUUGCGUAUAAAAUAUAACAUUAACCUUGAAUGGUUGAGUAGAGUUAUCUUGUAAAUGGAUAGCGGUCUGAGUAAAUGAGAUAUAAAGUAUAGAGUUCCAUUUAAAGAAGUGACGAUGACAUUGAAAUGUUUAACAAGCCUCCACUUCCGGUACCGGCACAUGCAUCAGGUGAUGCUCUAAUAAAAAUUUUUUUUUGACUAUUACCACUUUAAAGCUAUAGCUUGUCCCAAUUGCACGGGACACCCUGAAUAAAUUGCAGGAUAGCUAACUGAACAGUUCAAUGACACUCGAGCGUUCGAUUUCAGACGAGAAUUUAGGGACUAAUUAUUUCGUGAAUUACCAAAAUCGAAACCUAUCGAUUUUAUUUGUUACGUUCAUACUGGAAUAGUAUUUUGUAAGUUUAUAAAACGGAGGACGUAACAAAUUGUUACAUUGUAUUAAUUGUUUUUAUUGAACGUCAGUCAAGCUUAUCAGCAAUUUUUCUAACACAUAAAUCAAGUAAUAUAUUUAAUUAUGUGAAUACAGAGAGAGGAAGGAAAUUUUUCAUUGUAAUGAACGAUUCAUUUGUAAAGAGAUUAAAAGAAGAAUUGUAUCAAGGUACCUGAAGUUAUGAUUUAUUUCCACGAACAAAAUUACUAUUUCAUACAAUCGGUUGGUGUUAAUGCUGCACAUAUGUUUUCCACUUUUUUAAUCAGGAAGUUUAAACAUAAAUGUAAAACAAAUUGAUGAUGCAAAUGAAACUAAAUGCGCUACGAGUAUUAUUACUUUUGUUUCUAUUUCAAAGAGAAUCGAAAGCUACCAAAUGUUAUCAGUGUGAAAGUAGAAAGGACCAAGAUUGUACCGUCGACAAGGUAGAUAUGAAACAUUUGAAGACGUGUCCACUGUCUAAACCGUUUUGUCGUAAAGCUGUAUACAUAU